rnacentral:tRNA from 1 species
AAGAUAUUAGUAAUAAUUAUUACAUAACUUUGCCAUAGUUAAAUUACAGGUUUAAACCCUGUAUAUCUUA